CAAAUUCUCUGGGAAACCGGUGCUGUCCACACAAGAUUGUCCAGACUGAGGGCUUCCAGAGUUCCACAUCGUACGAUUGAUCAUCUUCACAAACAAUAAAAGCAGCCGGCUUUUGGCUCACCAAAUCAGAUUUGCAUUCCCCGAAGAGUGCGGCUACCUCAUCAAAUAACGUCAAUCCAAACUGGACUCUUCUCAAACAACUAUCUAGCUUCUUCUAGCUCCCCACAGUUUGGAUUUUCAAAGCUGUACUAGCCGUAAAAGUACUCACAACCGUGACUAUAUCAGGUAUUAAAACAUUCCCUUCGUGAAUACGGGAAAAAGACGUGUAUAGGCUCCUCCGACCUACAUAUAGAAUAUCCAGAAAUCAUCACAUUCCAGAAAAUCAAUCUCUAUCAGGCAUUUCAUCAAACACCAUCUUAAUAUUAUCAAUUCAAAACCAUCUGAGCAUACAUGUCAUUGAUCAAGUUGCACGAGUGUCAAAUUCAAGAACAGUGUCACAAAAAGAGGCAAUUAUUCAAAAUCUCAGAAGGGGACUACUCUUCUUUUCUUUCGAAAAUUAAAAUUACCCUAAAAAGCUUUAGGAACCUCAGUAUCAAUUGUAUUGAUUUGUUCAACAAUGUUACAAAUAAUAGUUGGAUGAGUUUGACUUGCA